rnacentral:rRNA from 1 species
UACGUAGGGGGCGAGCGUUGUCCGAAUUUACUGGGCGUAAAGCGCGUGUAGGCGGCUCCUUAAGUGAGAUGUGAAAUCCCGUGGCUCAACCACGGAACUGCAUUUCAAACUGGGGGGCUUGAAUUUGGGAGAGGAAAGUGGAAUUCCUGGUGUAGCGGUGAAAUGCGUAGAUAUCAGGAGGAACACCCGUGGCGAAGGCGGCUUUCUGGCCCAACAUUGACGCUGAGACGCGAAAGCUAGGGGAGCGAACGGG